rnacentral:misc_RNA from 1 species
AAUACCGGCCUGACCAAUGUGGAUUGAAAUGCACUCCCUCAUUUUCGAUACAGAAACUGAAAAAUUCGAAACCCUAAAAUUCAAACGAAGAAGAAGAAGAGAAGAACGGCGUUUAUCAAGACGCCGUUUCUAUAAACAAUAAAAGGAGAAAUUGAAAGUUUCGAAAUUUCGAAUUGUCCCCCCAGAUAAGAUUUUCCUUUCUGACA